UUUGCACGGGCACCCCUGCACAUACCAGACGCGCGAACCCCACGUCCCGAUCACCAUGGCGGCGACUUGCGGCUAGAUACAGAAAAACUCAGCGUACGCCCUAACCUUCCACAAAGAAGAGAUCCCGGCGGCCGGACGCGUAUGAAGUAAUGGGAUCUGCAAAUAGUUGGCAGAUGCAGUUGAAUAAGGAAGGAUUUAGUACACCCAUAAAGAAAGCAAUUGUUCCUGUCAUUUGCUCAUCUUUUAUACCUAAUUGUGAAGAUAAUUUGAAGCCUAAUGUGGGGAUGAAAUUUCAAGGACUGAAGGCCGUGGAGGAGUUCUACAAGUCUUAUGCACAUCACUCUGGUUCUGGAUAAGAACAAAGAAGCCAAGGUCAAGGUUGCACGCUUGUGUAAGACAUGCUACCAGAUAGGGUUUCAUGACAGUCGCAAUUGUCCUAGCAAAAAAGGUCAAGGAAAAGAAACCAUGAAUGUGCAGCACAUGCUUCGAAAUGGUUAAUCAUGAUAGCCGCAACUCCGUAAAAGACACAGGGCUUAUUAAUGCCAUUUUGUUAGUUUUACUGAAAAUUUCCAUCUAUGUAAUAGAUGAUAAAUUGUGUUUA